UUCCGGUUGAUCCCGCCGGACCUGACUGCUAUCGGAUUGAUACUAAGCCAUGCGAGUCAUUGUAGCAAUACAAGGCAUACGGCUCAGUAACGCGUAGUCAACCUACCUUAUGGACGGGGAUAACCUCGGGAAACUGAGAAUAAUACCCGAUAGAACAUAAUUCCUGGAAUGGUUUAUGUUUCAAAUAAUUUAUUGCCGUAGGAUGGGACUGCGGCCUAUCAGUUUGUUGGUGAGGUAAUGGCCCACCAAGACUAUUACAGGUACGGGCUCUGAGAGGAGUAGCCCGGAGAUGGGUACUGAGACACGGACCCAGGCCCUAUGGGGCGCAGCAGGCGAGAAAACUUUGCAAUGUGCGAAAGCACGACAAGGUUAAUCCGAGUGGUUUCUGCUAAAGGAACCUUUUGACAGUCAUAGAACCACUGUUGAAUAAGGGGUGGGCAAGUUCUGGUGUCAGCCGCCGCGGUAAAACCAGCACCUCAAGUGGUCAGGAUGAUUAUUGGGCCUAAAGCAUCCGUAGCCUGCUUUGUAAGUUUUCGGUUAAAUCCAUACGCUCAACGUAUGGGCUGCCGGGAAUACUGCAAAGCUAGGGAGUGGGAGAGGUAGACGGUACUCGGUAGGAAGGGGUAAAAUCCUUUGAUCUAUUGAUGACCACCUGUGGCGAAGGCGGUCUACCAGAACACGUCCGACGGUGAGGGAUGAAAGCUGGGGGAGCAAACCGGAUUAGAUACCCGGGUAGUCCCAGCUGUAAACUAUGCAAACUCGGUGAUGCAUUGGCUUGAUGCCAAUGCAGUGCCGCAGGGAAGCCGUUAAGUUUGCCGCCUGGGAAGUACGUACGCAAGUAUGAAACUUAAAGGAAUUGGCGGGGGAGCACCACAAGGGGUGAAGCCUGCGGUUCAAUUGGAUUCAACGCCGGG
rnacentral:rRNA from 1 species